UAAGGAAUAUUGGUCAAUGGACGCAAGUCUGAACCAGCCAUGCCGCGUGGAGGAUGAAGGUCCUCUGGAUUGCAAACUUCUUUUAUUUGGGAAGAAAAAAGAGAAUUCUUUCUCACUUGACGGUACCAGAUGAAUAAGCACCGGCUAACUCCGUGCCAGCAGCCGCGGUAAUACGGAGGGUGCAAGCGUUAUCCGGAUUUACUGGGUUUAAAGGGUGCGCAGGCGGAUAUGUAAGUCAGUGGUGAAAUCUCCGGGCUUAACCCGGAAACUGCCGUUGAUACUAUAUAUCUUGAAUGCUGUGGAGGUAAGCAGAAUAUGUCAUGUAGCGGUGAAAUGCUUAGAGAUGACAUAGAAUACCUAUUGCGAAGGCAGCUUACUACGCAGAUAUUGACGCUCAUGCACGAAAGCGUGGGGAUCAAACAGGAUUAGAUACCCUGGUAGUCCACGCCCUAAACGAUGAUUACUCGACAUACGCGAUACACAGUGUGUGUCUGAGCGAAAGCAUUAAGUAAUCCACCUGGGAAGUACGAUCGCAAGAUUGA
rnacentral:rRNA from 1 species